GACGAACGCUGGCGGCGGGCUUAACACAUGCAAGUCGAACGGAAAGGCCGUGCUUUCGUGGGGUGCUCGAGUGGCGAACGGGUGAGUAACACGUGAGUAACCUGCCCUUGACUUUGGGAUAACUUCAGGAAACUGGGCCUAAUACCGGAUAGGAGCUCCUGCUCCAUGGUGGGGGUUGGAAAGUUUCGGCGGUUGGGGAUGGACUCGCGGCUUAUCAGCUUGUUGGUGGGGUAGGGGCUUACCAAGGCUUUGACGGGUAGCCGGCCUGAGAGGGUGACCGGCGUCAUUGGGACUGAGAUACGGACCAGACUCGUACGGGGGGCAGCAGGGGGAAGUAUUGCACAAUGGGAGGAAGCCUGAUGCAGCAGCGCCGCGUGCGGGAUGCCGGCCUUCGGGUUGUAAACCGCUUUCGCCUGUGACGAAGCGUGAGUGACGGUAAUGGGUAAAGAAGCACCGGCUAACUACGUG
rnacentral:rRNA from 1 species